CCCCGCGUAGCUCAACGGUAGAGCGCAUGGCUGUAGAAGUCAUGUGGAUCGUGCACGGAUGCUUGGAUGAAACAUGAUCAGCUGUUGAUACCAUGAGGUUGCUGGUUCAAAUCCGGCCGCGGGGA
rnacentral:tRNA from 1 species